rnacentral:rRNA from 1 species
UAACCUGCUAAAUAGCCCAACUGGCUUUGGCUGGCUGCUGGCUUCUUAGAGGGACAUUCGGCUCAAGCCGACGGAAGUUUGAGGCAAUAACAGGUCUGUUAUGCCCUUAGAUGUUCUGGGCCGCACGCGCGCUACACUGACAGAGCCAGCGGGUUUUUUCCUUAACCGAAAGGUUUGGGUAAACCUAGAAACUCUGUCGUGCUGGGGAUAGAGCAUUGCAAUUAUUGCUCUUCAACGAGGAAUGCCUAGUAAGCGCAUGUCAUCAGCAUGCGUUGAUUACGUCCCUGCCCUUUGUACACACCGCCCGUCGCU